rnacentral:misc_RNA from 1 species
UACCUCGAAUGACUCGACGCUCAAGAUAGAGAAGGUUUAAUAGAUCGAGUGUUAGAAUAAUCUAGCACUGUAUUUGCACUUGUUGUAUAAAAAUAAAGUGUGAUGUUAUGAACACGGCGGUGGUAAGAUCUUGUUGGAAGUGAAGUAUUUCAUCCGCACCGUACGAUGUCUGAUGAUGAACUGUCCUCCUAUGUUGCUGAUUCUCCCUACCAGCCGAUCGGUUUCGAAAGGAUAAUUUAUCGUGCCUGCAAAGCAAGCCGAGACAGCGGUGGUUCAGCAAUAACCGGUUCGUCAUUAGUGGGAUCUUCUCAAACGUGCUUUAUCAUCGAUUAAGACCUGAACUCGCGCGUUAAGCCCACCCACGUGUUAUUUAUUGGUACGUAUGUUAUCC